GUGGGAUCCAUAGAAGUCAUGAAAACAAUAAUAGAUUAUAAAAGAGGUAUUUAUGAAUUACGUAUAGGCUAUAGGCUUAGUAUGUACAUUAACAGACAUUUACAAAGGAAAAAAUAAUAAUUCACUCUGAAAUAUAGUAACGGAUUUCUUCCUUUCACUUUGUGUGUGUGUGUGCAUGUGAAGAAUGUUAUUUUUUUAAUUGUAUUUUUUCAUUGUCACAGGUUUUAAAGUGAGAGUUUCUCAUUUGUUUUCCACUUAGGAUUGUUUACUCAUUCCUGGGAGCUGUGUUCACAAUGAGUGGAAUCACUUCGACGUCUCCUGUUUGUUUGGUUUGGUGUUUGCUGUGGUCAGGAAGUACCUGCCCUCCCAGAGACUGCCCCAGGUUGGAUUUUUUAAAGUUGGCUUUGCAGAUCUUAGGUGGGAUCAUGAGUGGGGCUCUUCCUUGUAUAUUUAUAUCUAAAUGUUGAACACAUGAUAACUCUUAGCAGCCCAGAAAAUUGCCUGAGCUCUCAGUGUCAUAUGCAUAAGCCUCACAUGUAUUGGAGAAGCCUGAACCUUCUUACUGGUCAGACUAGGGACAUGGAGUCAAACCACAUGGUGGCUGAGUGUGGAAUGGGGGUUAAUAAGCAUUCAUUCGGUCUGACCUUUUGGGAGUUUCUUUUUCCCAUCUGCAGAAGAAGAGGUUGCAUUAGAUGAAAUGAAAACUCAUGCCAACUCAAGUGCUAUAAUUUCACUUGGAUCUCUGGAUCUAGACAUGGAAACUGCUCCUUGUACCAAACACUACUGCCAUCUUUUCGGGCCACAAAAUGUCCGGUUUCAACCUGCUCUGGAGCAUCGGGUGCCAGGAUGGCUUACAAUUUCGUGGAGAGAAAUUGUUCAAGUAAUUAAACAAAAAUCAUCAAAAAUCAGCCCUCGGGUUAUUCAGAGCAAUCUAUCUACCCGCAGAAGAUACUGACAGAAAAUCUUAAAUUCUUCUUCUUAAGGCACCUACCUCAUACACAAAGAUAAGUGUAUUUAAUCUACUUUGUAUCCUGCUUUAUUUCAUAUAACAUUAUAUUCUAAACAUUUUCAAUAUUUUGACAAAUUAUGAUAAUCAAUUUAAAAGGGUACAUAAUACAUAAAGUAUUUUAAUUUACAUAUAGCAUCAUACCUAACAGAUAUAAAAAUGUUGGUCUA
rnacentral:lncRNA from 1 species